rnacentral:rRNA from 1 species
UACAGAGGGGGCAAGCGUUGUUCGGAAUUACUGGGCGUAAAGGGCGCGUAGGCGGCCUGUUAAGUCGAACGUGAAAUCCCCGGGCUCAACCUCUGGCCUGCAUCCGAUACUGCCCGACUAGAGGUAGGUAGGGGAGAUCGGAAUUCCUGGUGUAGCGGUGAAAUGCGCAGAUAUCAGGAGGAACACCGGUGGCGAAGGCGGAUCUCUGGGCCUUACCUGACGCUGAGGCGCGAAAGCUAGGGGAGCAAACAGGG